UACAACCAUAUCCCGUUGAAACACAGGUUCCCGUACGAUCAUCGAAGUUAAGAAGCAUUGAGCCUAGUCAGUACUCAGAUGGGUAACUACUUGGGAAUACCAGGUGUGGUA